AAAUUCUGGGAUGCUCUUGAGUGUCUCCCACCUAACUAGAGGCCACACUGGUUAGGCAAAACGACAGUCCUUGCGUUGUUACGUCAGACCGAGCGUAUCUGAGCGCCAAGGCUCGAGAAAAAAUGGCGGAUUCCGAUCACGAUAUUCAGAUGAGGAAUUUCCAAUGCGAUAUAUGUGCCAAACAGUUUCUGCAUCUGUCCUCUCUGGGGAGACACAAGCGCAUUCACGCAGGAGAACGAAAGUUAUUUAUGUGGCAACGUAUGGUGGAACAUAUGAACAUCGACAGACAUUAAUUAGACAUUUGAAUACACUUGAAGAAAAAAAUGAUUGGAUGUGACCAGUGCGAAAAAAAUGUUCUCCCGAAAAGACAGACUUGAAAGACAAAGUGGUUCAUAAGUCCAAAUCAACCUGUAGUAGAUGCUCCAAAAAGGUAUUUCAUAUUGCUGAACACUUGAAAAUUUGCGUCGAAGGACGUGUUUCUAAUCAUUAAUGCCAAGUGUGUGACAGAAAGUUCUUGGAAAAAAGAUAUCUGCAGAACCAUUGCAGGUGUGUAUAUUCAUACGAAGAACAGUUUGAGUGUAACGUGUGCAGCAAAACGUUCCGUCAAAGAGGGUCGUUGUCCCGCCAUAAUCGACAAUGUAAGAACUGAGAAAAGUAAACUUAAGUGAAGUGAAUGUAUGUCAGUAGACUCCAGUGAAUAGUGUUGCAUUAUGGACACAGGAAAUGUAUUGACUUUAUAGUUCCUCUUUUGUUCAGUAUGGCAUGUCAAACGUUGCUAAAUUAUAUAUGUAUGUUAUUAUUAUUUUAUGUUUGUUAUUGUUAUUCAAUGUCUUGUCAUUCAUAUUCUAAAAGUCAUUAUUGUUAUUCUAUAUUUCGUUAUUCUAAUUGUAUCUUUGAUAUUGUUAUUCAAUGUCGUGUCAUUUAUAUUCUAAAUCUUACCAUUGUUAUUCUAUAUGUCGUUAUUCUUAUUGUAUAUUCGAUAUUCUUAUGGUAAAAGUUAUUAUUGUUAUCAUCAUAACAAACAUCCAAUAAUAAUAACAUGCAUAUAUAAUUUAGCAACGUUUGACGUGCCAUAGACAUAAUUGAUUUAUAACUCUUUGAAAUUGAUUAUAGCUUUGAAAACGCACAAAUAACAAAUAAAAACAUAUUUUAGAAUAGUCGGGCUCAUUCUAAAUAGCCCUGACUUCAGUCAGUCUUAUUUUGCAAUUAAUUCUUAUUUUUGUUUAAGGUAAGGUCAGGGUAACAUUUUCAUUUCUAUCACAUACACAUGCGUCUUUUUUUAAUGAAUGUAAUCAAUAAGUUCUGCAAACGUGCCGAAUCGGCAAAAUUAUACAGUUCAAAACGCUUUUUAAAGUAUUUAACAUUAUUUAUACGCUGAUAACGGACACUUUCUAAUUGUCAAAUUUCUCGUGGAACGAAAUUCGUUUUGACGUAAGUGUUUUUUCUUUCAGUAUGUAAUAGUCAUGUACACUACCGUUGUUUAACUGAUUUAAGGUGAUUUUAAUUAGCCCUGCCACGGAAUGAUCCGGUCAAGGGUGGAGCAUGUAUUCGGUUCUAGUCAAGUGCUCAGGGGAUAUCAAUUUCAAAUUGAUAUUAGAUAGCUAUUUAAGGCAAUACUUCUGUGCUUUUUGAUGUCAAUAUGUGAUGUUCAUGUCAUAACUGAUAAUAGUGGUCACAUAUUAAAUAAAUGAUUCUACUUUAUUUUUAUGUUUAUUUUGAUUCAUCAGUGAUGAAUCCGUGAUUAACCAUUCCAGUGACUUUUUUAAUAUUUGAUUUUGAAAUAAAAUUUACAAAAAAAUGA